rnacentral:rRNA from 1 species
UGGGGAAUCUUGGACAAUGGGCGCAAGCCUGAUCCAGCCAUGCCGCGUGAGUGAAGAAGGCCUUAGGGUUGUAAAGCUCUUUUGCCAGGUACGAUAAUGACGGUACCUGGAGAAUAAGCCCCGGCAAACUUCGCGCCAGCAGCCGCGGUAAUACGCAGGGGGCUAGCGUUGUUCGGAUUUACUGGGCGUAAAGCGCACGUAGGCGGGUCGUUAAGUCAGGGGUGAAAUCCCGGAGCUCAACUCCGGAACUGCCUUUGAUACUGCAAAGCUGGAGUGCGGCAGAAGGGAAUGGAAUUCCUCGUGUAGCAGUAAAAUGCGUAGAUAUGCGGAGGAACACCGAUGGCGAAGGCAAUACCCUGGGCCUGCACUGACGCCCAUGCACGAAAGCGUGGGGAGCAAACA